GCCAGGCGCGGUGGCUCAUGCCUGUAAUCCCAGCACUUUAGGAGGCCAAGGCGGGCGGAUCACGAGGUCAGGAGAUCGAGACCAUUCUGGCUAACACAGUGAAACCCUGUCUCUACUAAAAAUACAANNNNNNNNNNUUGUAUUUUUAGUAGAGACGGGGUUUCACCGUGUUCGCCAGGAUGGUCUCGAUCUCCUGACCUCGUGAUCCGCCCGCCUC
rnacentral:SRP_RNA from 1 species